rnacentral:lncRNA from 1 species
UGGUAAGCCAGAAAAAGCGCAAGAACGAAAUACGGGUGGCGACGCCUACUUAAGUUCCCGCACCUGGAGGCUGUGACGUCUUGGAUUUUGAUGGCAUUUUCUAGGGCUUACUAAUUAUAUAUAGCGGUACAGAUUGACUACAUUGUGUUCUAAAGGAACCAAAUAUUAAACAUGGCAAGUUUCGGGAACCUUUAUUCAGCCAACGCGGCCCAAAUGCGAAAACAUACUUUGGAAUCCCUGACGUCACGCUGACGUACCGGCGCUGGGGUUUCGGCACGAAAUUCAAAUACUGAUACUUGGACCUUCAUUUUCUCAUCUAAUAAUCAAACUAUUUUUUUUAAAUGACUGCCCGCAGGGUUCUCAAACAAUGCUUCAUUAGUUUAAACUGAUUUAUUGUUUCACUUUAGUGUCCCUUUAAAACCGCAUUCACCACAUUGAAAAGUAGUUUUCAGAAGCUUCACUGGACACACAUGCCGCCUUUUCGAGGAAUGAAGGGCAGCUGACAGUGGUCCUGAGCAGACCACCCUCAGAUGCGCUAUAAUAUACGUUCACCACGUGACAGGCUUCCCACACUUCACACACACACAUUUUCCCAUCUUGACACUCCUAAUGCUACCACAUUAAAAAGCAUGAAGUAUCAUUAUUCCUAACCUAACUAUCUAUGAUAUACGAGCACUGCUGAAAGUCCUGCUCACCCCAGUGCUCUGGAAAACUGUGCACGAUAGUGAAUAUGUUGGAGGUCUGUGGUUGCUUCACAGAUGCAACAGGAGUGAUACAAUCAUUACACAAAAGCAUAGAUGUGCACACAGCAUGGCCACUGUGCAGCUGUGACAUUGACAUUUGCUCUCAGUCGUGCUGAACACCAGCCCCGCAUCCGCACAAGGCAACAGCACGAAAGCUCAGUUUAAGCAGCAUGCACGCAUUACAGCAAAAGAAUGCCGAGCGCACGCUGAAAGGAACACUAACUUAACUGACCAAACUCGGCACACAGCGUUGAUCACGCUUGCUUCUCGCAAUGCCGUUGGCGCUGCAGGGUCUAACGAUGCAUGACCCUUGUCACAAAGGUGAACGUGAAAAUGAAAGCUAUGUUCACAUAGCCCACAAUGCUUGUCACUCACCUGCAAGGUUUCCCACAUUUCCUUUUCAAACUCCCUCUAUAGUGCUGUGGAGGCGCGAGGAGUGGACACAGUUUAGGAGCAAAACAAGAGGCACCAGGCAGGGAGGGAGGGUGAAAGCAAGUGCCAUAUGUCUAGACCGAGCGCCGCCGGAACUGCGAAGGCUCUGGACUGACACUACAGGAUUCAAACACAGGUUACUCCUGUAGUCAGCGAGGAUGGGACCCGCAUUCCACUCGACGAUGGUUUUGCAUGCAGAACGACAGACGGGAUGAUCAUUACUGUCAUCUUUCAAGACUCCGCUACUGAUGCCUUGUCAGUGUAAUCUGAAGCUGCUUAACCGGCAUCACCUGCCAUUGAGGAAACACCUACCUGCCUUUGAGGAACCACCUGCGCUCCUUGGUGCCACACUGAUGGAGGAGUGAUCCGGAUACUCUGAAGCCGAAUUUUGGAGUGAUCAGAGGAUCCGGUUCGUCAUUUCAAAACAAAGUCUUCUGAAGGUGAUGACAGCAAUGAGGACAUGGAGCGAGGAGCAUUGUCCAUUGUCAAACCCCUUCCAAGCUGUGCCUAAGCUGCAGUUUUGAGCCAAGAACCAAGGCAUGCCUUUGCCAAGAAAAGGAUGAACAAGGACAGCACAUCACUACAAGCGAUAUUAACUGAAUUUCAGGAGGCCAAGAAAGAGCAGGCCAACCGCACUGGAAAAAAAAAAAAGACUUUGUUGGAGCGGCUUGUAACAGCUGUUGAAAAAGUUGCCUCGACCGUUUUGGAAUAAAAAUUCUCAAGAAAAAUGAAAA